CCUACGGGUGGCAGCAGUGAGGAAUAUUGGUCAAUGGGCGAGAGCCUGAACCAGCCAAGUCGCGUGAAGGAUGACUGCCCUAUGGGUUGUAAACCUCUUUUAUAAAGGAAUAAUGUGAGGCCCGUGUGCCUUUUUGUCUGUACUUUAUGAAUAAGGAUCGGCUAACUCCGUGCCAGCAGCCGCGGUAAUACGGAGGAUCCGAGCGUUAUCCGGAUUUAUUGGGUUUAAAGGGAGCGUAGAUGGGUUGUUAAGUUAGGUGUGAAAGUUUGCGGCUCAACCGUAAAAUUGCAAUUGAUACUGGCAGGCUUGAGUACAGAUGAGGUAGGCGGAAUUCGUGGUGUAGCGGUGAAAUGCUUAGAUAUCACGAAGAACUCCGAUUGCGAAGGCAGCUUACUAAACUGCCACUGACAUUGAUGCUCGAAAGUGUGGGUAGCGAACAGGAUUAGAUACCCCAGUAGUC
rnacentral:rRNA from 1 species